rnacentral:rRNA from 1 species
UACGAAGGGUGCAAGCGUUACUCGGAAUUACUGGGCGUAAAGCGUGCGUAGGCGGUCUGUUAAGUCCGUUGUGAAAGCCCUGGGCUCAACCUGGGAAUUGCAGUGGAUACUGGCGGGCUAGAGUGCGGUAGAGGAUGGUGGAAUUCCCGGUGUAGCGGUGAAAUGCGUAGAGAUCGGGAGGAACACCCGUGGCGAAGGCGGCCAUCUGGACCAGCACUGACGCUGAGGCACGGAAAGCGUGGGGAGCAAACAGG